rnacentral:rRNA from 1 species
GUCAUUUAGAGGAAGUAAAAGUCGUAACAAGGUCUCCGUUGGUGAACCAGCGGAGGGAUCAUUACCGAGUUUACAACUCCCAAACCCCUGUGAACAUACCACUUGUUGCCUCGGCGGAUCAGCCCGCUCCCGGUAAAACGGGACGGCCCGCCAGAGGACCCCUAAACUCUGUUUCUAUAUGUAACUUCUGAGUAAAACCAUAAAUAAAUCAAAACUUUCAACAACGGAUCUCUUGGUUCUGGCAUCGAUGAAGAACGCAGCAAAAUGCGAUAAGUAAUGUGAAUUGCAGAAUUCAGUGAAUCAUCGAAUCUUUGAACGCACAUUGCGCCCGCCAGUAUUCUGGCGGGCAUGCCUGUUCGAGCGUCAUUUCAACCCUCAAGCACAGCUUGGUGUUGGGACUCGCGUUAAUUCGCGUUCCUCAAAUUGAUUGGCGGUCACGUCGAGCUUCCAUAGCGUAGUAGUAAAACCCUCGUUACUGGUAAUCGUCGCGGCCACGCCGUUAAACCCCAACUUCUGAAUGUUGACCUCGGAUCAGGUAGGAAUACCCGCUGAACUUAAGCAUAUCA